UACAGAGGUCCCGAGCGUUGUUCGGAUUCACUGGGCGUAAAGGGUGUGUAGGCGGUUCUUUAAGUUUGGUGUGAAAUCUCCCGCUCAACCGGGAGGGUGCGCCGAAUACUGAGGGACUCGAGUGCGGGAGAGGAAAGUGGAAUUCCUGGUGUAGCGGUGAAAUGCGUAGAUAUCAGGAGGAACACCGGUGGUGUAGACGGCUUUCUGGACCGUAACUGA
rnacentral:rRNA from 1 species